CGGUCCGAUUGUAGCUCGCGGUCAAUUAAACUCUCUGUACUCACGUUCCAUUGUUUGAUAUCUAUACUUUAAUAUUCCGUCAUAUUCUAAUGGUUUAUUUUGAUUUUAUUUUGUACUACAUAGGUCAAUAACAAAUCAUCCAGCGUAAUCAUAAAGUUUCCAUUCCUCGAGAAUAAAAGUGUGCUCUUUAGCUCUUGAAUCUAUUAAACAUUAAACAUGCAAGAUGGUCUCACGUAAAGUAAAAAUAAUUAUUUUAUUAUAUUUUUUGUGUAUUUUAAAAAUCAGUGCUAAUACCAGUGAUUCGUCUUCUUCAAAUGAAGAUUCAUCAGAAACAACUGAUAAAUCCGUCAAUAAACAAGAUAGUUCUGAGUCUUCAGAAUCUGACGAAAAAAAUAAUGAAAAUAUUCCAAGCAAUCCGCAAUCCAAUGUAUCGGAUAUUUUUGCAGCCGAAGAAGAAGGACGAGAAAUUAUUGAUAUGCCACUACGUUUGAGACACGGAUCGAAAUGUUCAUCCGGACAAAUCCUUGAUCCGCAUGGAGAAUGCCGAGAAUUGAUAUAAUACGCCUGAAUAAUACAUGAAAAGUAUGUCAAACUAAUAAUCAAGUAGAUAGAUAAAGUAAUUUAAAUCUUGUAAAGUUUUAUACUGUCGCAGUUGAAUUGAUAAUAAAAAGAUAUGACUAUUACUAUU